CCAAGAUGGCCGAAAUGUGGAGAACAUCCCGAUUAAUCGAGUUAAUCUUGCUUAUGGUGGUGGUUCUACCUUCUGGAUCCAGUACAAUGGGUCCACGCAUACUGUUCCUCCGAACACCAGCACAGAUAGCAAAAUAGUCUUAAAUAAAA
rnacentral:misc_RNA from 1 species